CAUCUUUGCAAUUUCCUGCAAGUUUAAAAGUUAUUCUUAGAACAGCCUUUAUAAGCUUUCAUACAUGAAGAAUAAACAUGCUGCAUCAUGGCGCAAAUCAUGCGGAGAGAAUGAGGAGUGGACCCAAACGCAGACAACUGAGAGAUAGGUGGAGGAUAACAAAUGCAAUCCUUUAUUUGGGCUGCACAACAACACUAUAAACAAAAAGCAAGGGGGAAUUGAGAACACUAACAAAAGCUAAACUGGAAACAGCUAAACUAAAGAACAUGAAGAACAAAGCAAAACUUGACAACCGAGAAUUAGGAACCUGAAGCAUGGAAACAUAGAGGAAGAAACACGGGAUGAAGAACAGAAUGAUGAACAGACAAUCUGACGAGGAACAGAGGUAAAUACACCCUAAAUAUACACAAGCAGGAAAACGAGAGGAUGGGGAACAGGUGAGAACACAGCUGGGAUUAAUCAGACAUGAUGAGAUGGGGAGGAGAGCAAAACUGAAGACACUGACACAAGACACAGACUGUCAAAGUAAAACAGGAAAUACAAGAGAGACACGAAGACGCAGAUUCGACACUUAGACAUGGAAACAUGAGACGAGGCGAGGUGAGGCACAGGAACAGAACAGACCAUAAUUCAACGAAUAAAACUUAAAAACACUGGGACAGUGACAAUGGCAUAAAUGCCACAUGACACCUUGUGUAUACCUGUGAGAGGCUUUGAAAACACAGCAUAGUAUUUAUGCGAUGUUGACUGUUUUUGUGUUUUUGUUUAUUUUGACCUGUUUUUGUAUAUCCGCAGCACUGAACCAAACACACAUCUCUGUGGGUCAACAUGCUACAAUCCAAAAGAGCACCACUGCUGUGAAAGAAACCAAAAGCCUCACUGGUUCUGCACCUCAGGUCAAAGCAAGGCAACACCCACUGUAUAUAAUCCACACAUACAAGUCUGCUGUGAUGGAUGUAUGUCUACGUGGAAGCCUUGGAUGGAUCAGUGCUGUGGAGAGACACCAUAUGGCUCGGGACAACGCAGAGUUCUCUGUUGUAAUAACACCUUGUAUGAGGACAGAGACGAUGGAGAGGAAUGUUCUGGCACGGGUAUUCCUUACAAUCCGGCUAAAGGGACCAUAUGUUGUUCUCAGUUUCACGGCAGCCCAGGACAACACUGCUGUGGGACAGAAAUUUACCGGCCUGAUGUUGAGAUUUGCUGCAAUGGACACAGACAUCCCAAAUCAGAAAACAUUCACUGCUGUGGGGUCAAAGCCUACAACAUUAAAGACCCACAAAUGAAGUGCUGUGCAGGAAGUCUGUACAAUCUGACAUCAUUAGAUAAGCAUGGAGGGGACGCGCAGUGCUGCGGAUCCACUCUGCAAAAGCCACAGGACAUUUGCUGCUCAAGUGAGGACAAAGAGGUGAUCUACUCUGCCAAGACAGGGUUCAAAUGCUGUGGUCACCUCUAUUACAACACCGCCCUGUGGUCAUGCUGUGCUGGGAGGCUGAGAUCAAUCCAUGAACCAGGACAGGGUCGAAGAAAGAUGAUUAAUGAAUCCAAAGUCCUAUCUGUGAAUAAUCUGAACAAAACAGAUCUUUGCCAAAAAAUUUACAUUGGGACUGUGGAAAGUGUGUCUCAGCAGAGCGUUGUGUUUGGGAAUGUGCUGAAGGUUCAUGGUAUGAAGACCAAAGUGAAAGCUCUGCCUUUUCCUUACAUCCUGGAAACAGAUGAUCGCUGCAGCUCCCCUAAACUGAUUCUUGGGAAGACCUACUUCUUUAACAAAGUUAAUGUUUUCACUGACUUCAAUCAUGACUCUGUUCUUCAGUCACUCCAUGUCAUUAUUUGCAAAUGUUCACCUUAGGUCACCAUUGGUUGAUUUAUACAUGGGCAGUCCUGAUGAGUUACUCUAUUCUCUGACAAAGUACUCAUUUUGUAUUUUCAUUUUGUGCUUG
ensembl:lncRNA